rnacentral:rRNA from 1 species
GACGAACGCUGGCGGCGUGCUUAACACAUGCAAGUCGAACGAAGUGGCGAACGGGUGAGUAACGCGUAAUCAACCUGCCCUUCAGCGGGGGACAACAGUUGGAAACGACUGCUAAUACCGCAUACUGACGUGGGUGAUUGCGUCUGAUUAGGUCGUUGGAGGGGUAACGGCCCACCAAGGCGAUGAUCAGUAGCCGGGCUGAGAGGGUGGACGGCCACAAUGGGAAUGGGACACGGCCCAGAAUCCUACGGGAGGCAGCAGGGGGGAAUCUUCCGCAAUGGACGAAAGUCUGACGGAGCAAAGCCGCGGGAGUGAUGACGGCCUUCGGGUUGUAAAGCUCUGUUAAUCGGGACGCGGUACCGGAAGAGAAAGCCACGGCUAACUACGUGCCAGCAGCCGCGGUAAUUC